GACGAACGCUGGCGGCGUGCUUAACACAUGCAAGUCGAACGGUGAAGCGCCUUCCUUUUUGGUGGGUGUGGAUGAGUGGCGAAAGGGGGAGUAACACGUGAGUAACCUGCCCCCUUCUUCUGGGUAACCGCAUGAAAGGGUGGCUAAUACGGGAUAUUCUGGGUUUUUCGCCUGAUGGGUCUGGGGAAGAUAUUGUUUCGGUGGGGGGUGGGCUCGCGGCCUAUCAGCUUGUUGGGGGGGUGAUGGCCUACCAAGGCGGUGACGGGUAGCCGGCCUGAGAGGGUGGACGGUCACACUGGGACUGAGACACGGCCCAGACUCCUACGGGAGGCAGCAGUGGGGAAUAUGGCACAAUGGGCGCAAGCCUGAUGCAGCGACGCCGCGUGAGGGAUGGAGGCCUUCGGGUUGUGAACCUCUUUCGCCAGUGAAGCAGGCCUGCCUCGUUUGUGGGUGGGUUGACGGUAGCUGGAUAAGAAGCGCCGGCUAACUACGUG
rnacentral:rRNA from 1 species